CACGUAGGGGGCGAGCGUUGUCCGGAUUUAUUGGGCGUAAAGAGCUCGUAGGCGGCUCAGUAAGUCAGGUGUGAAAACUCCAGGCUCAACCUGGAGACGCCAUCUGAUACUGCUGUGGCUAGAGUCCGGUAGGGGAGCAUGGAAUUCCUGGUGUAGCGGUGAAAUGCGCAGAUAUCAGGAGGAACACCAGUGGCGAAGGCGGUGCUCUGGGCCGGAACUGACGCUGGGGAGCGAAAGCGUGGGGAGCAAACAGG
rnacentral:rRNA from 1 species